rnacentral:rRNA from 1 species
UGACCCGGGGAUUUCCGAAUGGGACAACCCUGCCGUGCGAAAACACGGCAAGCCGUGCUUUGCACGGAAAUCCUAAAUCCAAAAUCCUAAUUUCUAAACAACAGCGGAAGAAUUUAUAUAAAAUUUUUCCUUGUUUGUUUAGGAUUUAGAGAUUAUAAUUUAGAGUUUCCGCGCAGAGCGCGGCGGCGCACCCAGGGAAGUGAAACAUCUCAGUACCUGGAGGAAAAGAAAACAAACCGACGCUUCGCGUCGGUUAUUCCCUUAGUAGCGGCGAGCGAAAAGGGAAUAGUCCAAACCGAUUUUCGUUUUUGUUUACAAAAACGAAAAUCGGGGUAGUAAGUAAAAUGUGUUCGAGCCUUCGGGUUCGAGGAGCCUACACAAUAAUGUGAUUUGUUUAGUCAAACGGUCCUGGAAAGGCCGGCCAAAGAAGGUGAUAGCCCUGUAAGCGAAAAUCAUCACAUGGCUCUUGCGUUUUAACUUGAGUACGGCGGGGAACGACAGCCCCGUCGGAAGCAGGGAGCACUAUUCUCCCAAGACUAAAUACUUGGUCUCACCGAUAGUGAACUAGUACCGUGAGGGAAAGGUGAAAAGCAGCCCGGUGAGGGCGGUGAAAUAGUACCUGAAACCAUAUGCUUACAAAGAGUCGGAGUCCCGCACCUUUUGUGCGCUUGAUGCUAAAAGCAUCAAAAUGUUAAACAUUGCGCAUAAAAGGUGCGGGAUGACGGCGUGCCUAUUGAAGAAUGAGCCAACGAGUUAUCCGGCAUCUUUUGUUUAAGGGCUACGGCCCGGAGACGAAGGGAAACCGAGUGUUAAAAGCGCGUUUUUGAAGGUGCCGGCUAGACCCGAAACCAGGCGAGCUACCCAUGGCCAGGGUGAAAGUCGAUGAAUAGUCGGCUGGAGGCCCGAACCGGUAAGCUGUGCAAAACUUUCGGAUGAGUUGUGGGUAGUAGUGAAAAGCUAAUCGAGCCUGGUAAUAGCUGGUUCUCCCCGAAAUCGCUUUGGGGCGAGCCCUCGAGAUUAUUUCUUCGGAGGUAGAGCACUGGAUGGUUUGUAUUGAGGUAACACUCGACAAACCAAUCAAACUCCGAAUGCCGGAGAUUUUUCUCGGGGAGUUAGACUGUGGGGGCGAAGCUUCAUAGUCAAAAGGGCAUGAACCCUGACCAUCAUCUAAGGUCCCUAAAUCUAAACUAAGUGACGGAAGGAAGUGAUUCGCCGAAGACAGGUAGGAGGUUGGCUUAGAGGUAGCCAUCCUUUAAAGAGUGUGUAACAACUCACUACCAUAUCGGCCGUGCCUCACUGUGUUCGGCACGGAAUUUCUAAUUUCCAAUUUCUAAUUUCCAAACAACAGCGGAAGAAUUCAUAUAAAAUUUUUCCCUGCUUGUUUGGGAUUUAGGAUUUUGGAUUUGGGAUUUCCGCCCGAGCGCAGCGAGGCGCGGCUGAUUGGCGAGUUGCGCCGAAAAUUCAACGGGGCUAAGUUUAGUACCGAAGAUAUGGAACCUUGCGCUUCGCACAAGGAAUUUCUAAUUUCCAAUUUCUAAUUUCUAAACCCCCGAGUAGCAGAGCAAAUCUCGCUACGGGGCAGGCAACAGCGGAAGAAUUUAUAUAAAAUUUUUCUUUGCUUGUUUAGGAUUUGGGAUUUUGGAUUUGGAAUUUCCUUGCGUGGAGCGCGAGGUUGGUAGGGGAGCGUAUUUUGCGGCUGUGAAGGCCGACCCGCGAGGGCGGCUGGAGCGCAAAGUAGUGAGAAUGUUGGCAUGAGUAACCUGCAAUCCCGAUGAGAAAUCGGGACGUCGAAAGCCCAAGGUUUCCUUGGCAAUGGAAAUCAGCCAAGGGUUAGGCGGCCCUUAGGCGAUGGCGAAAGCCGUAGCUGAUGGACAGCCGGUUAAUAUUCCGGCCCUUUCUCGUCAAUCCGACGGGGGGACGGAACUUAGUAGUCCGGGCAGAUUAUUGAAUUUCUGUCGGCGAUUUGAGCGGGUCUCUUUGGCAAAUCCGGGAGACGCAUACCGCAAGAGUCGCCGGGAAGUUCCGGUUCGCCGGAGCGAACCCGGACGAGCAAGUUCCCAAGAAAAUCCUCUAAGGAUUAAUUGGCGGGAAAGCCGUACCGUAAACCGACACAGGUGGGCAGGGCGAGAAGCCCAAGACGAACGGGUGAUUCCUCGUUAAGGAACUCGGCAAAAAAGCGGCCGUAAGUUCGCGAUAAGGCCUAGCGCUGAUUGCUUCGCUUUCGCUUCGCAAUCAGCUAAAUUCAAAAUUAAAAAAUCAAAAAUCAAAAUGAAGGAGCGGAAAUUUUUCAAAGAAAAAUUUCCGCGAUUCCUAAAUUUUGCAUUUUGCAUUUUGCAUUUUGCAUUUUAGCUGCGAGCGAAAAUUGUGGAGCGCAAGCGGAGUAAUUUGGCGCUCGCAGCUAAAGUACCCCUAGCGACUGUUUAACAAAAACACAGGUCCCUGCUAAAUCGUAAGAUGAUGUAUAGGGGCUGACGCUUGACCAGUGUCGGAAUGUUAACGGCGGAUGUGCUGUUUUAGCAAUAAGGCAGUGCUGAUGCCCGAAGCACCGAUGAACGUCCGCGGUAACUAUAACCGUGUUAAUGUAGCGAAAUUCCUUGUCUGGUAAGUUCAGACCCGCAUGAAAAGCGUAACGACUGGGGGACUGUCUCAACGAGGAGCCCGGUGAAAAUGCAAUCCCAGCGAAGAUGCUGGGUACCUGCGGCAAGACGAAAAGACCCCAGGAGCUUUACUGCAGCUUGACAUUGGCUUUAGGUCUUGGAUGCGUAGCGUAGCGGGUAGGCUUUGAAGUCCGGUUUUCGGACCGGAU